rnacentral:tRNA from 1 species
GCCCCGUUAGUUUAGCGGCUAGAAUUGUGGUCUGUGGAACCAUAGAGGCAGGUUCAAAUCCUGCACGGGGCACCA